rnacentral:lncRNA from 1 species
AGAAGAUGCUGGUUCAGGUUCUGUGGCAGGGAUAGAACUCCGGUCCUUGCUCCACUAUUCAUGCUGAGUGCCUGACAUGUGCCAGGAUGGUAUCCCUUUCCCUACAGGUCCCUAUGUAAAUACCUGGCAUAGGGGUGAGAGAAGGAGGCUUGGAGAAGGAAGUGUACUCAGAGCAGGGUGGAGCAGGAUGGGCUGAUGGGGAGACCCCAUGUCUUUGGCCCUGCAGCAGAAGUGAACAGAAAGCCUUCCAGGGUCAGAGCUGUGGAUUACUAUCUCCUCCCACUAGGACCAGAAGAGGAAGGAAGUGGCCCUCCCUGAUCCUACAAUGCUAUGCAAAACUGAAGAUGUCAAAGAUUCUGUCCUCAGUGAGGCAAAAGGGCUUGGUUGGCCCCCUGUUGAUUAAAGAAGAUGGGAACCAUGUGAAAGCAGGAAUAGAAAAGUUAAAGCAGUCGUUCUUUCCAGAUGAGUCAGGGCCCUGAGUGGAAUGAGGAACACGCAUCUUGUUUGCUUUCGAACAAGGCAGGGCCCGGCAGGAGGACAACAGAGGACAAGAGAGUGUGGUGGAGCAAGGCCUGGAGCAAGGCCUGUCUUCCUCCUGCCCAUUUGCCAGAAAACUGUCACACAUGAUGUCCUGCAGACCUUAGCUACUCUCCUGGCUCCCGUUACAGACCAGCCCCUUUGACCUCCCCCUGCACUUCCGCUAUCUCUACCACUAUAAAUGAAUGUGCUAAAAGUGCCCGGUGGUCUUUUCUCCCAUCAGGAGGUAGAGCUCCACCUGGCCCCACCCUUUGUAUCUCUUUUUCUUUUCUUAAUCUCCCAUGUUAUUUCUCAC